UACGAAGGGGGCUAGCGUUGCUCGGAAUCACUGGGCGUAAAGGGUGCGUAGGCGGGUCUUUAAGUCAGGGGUGAAAUCCUGGAGCUCAACUCCAGAACUGCCUUUGACACUGAAGAUCUUGAGUCCGGGAGAGGUGAGUGGAACUGCGAGUGUAGAGGUGAAAUUCGUAGAUAUUCGCAAGAACACCAGUGGCGAAGGCGGCUCACUGGCCCGGUACUGACGCUGAGGCACGAAAGCGUGGGGAGCAAACAGG
rnacentral:rRNA from 1 species